rnacentral:rRNA from 1 species
AUAUGGCCGUUCCUCGCAUGGGGGUGGUGGAAAGCCUUCGGGUGGUUUUGGAUGGACUCACGGCCUAUCAGCUUGUUGGUGGGGUAAGUGGCUCACCAAGGCGACGACGGGUAGCCGGCCUGAGAGGGUGACCGGCCACACUGGGACUGAGACACGGCCCAGACUCCUACGGGAGGCAGCAGUGGGGAAUAUUGCACAAUGGGCGAAAGCCUGAUGCAGCGACGCCGCGUGAGGGAUGACGGCCUUCGGGUUGUAAACCUCUUUCAGCAGGGAACAAGGCCAGGCUUUUGUCUGGUUGAGGGUACUUGCAGAAGAAGCGCCGGCUAACUACGUGC